AUGAUAAUUGAUCAGGAUACAUCAGUUCAACUUCUCAAAACGAGAUUCUCUGCUCAGCUCCUGGGGUUGCUAGUGCUCUGGAUCCCAGGAUCCAGUGGGGAUAUUGUGAUGACUGAGACCCCACUCUCCUUGCCCAUCAUCCGUGGAGAACCUGCUUCCAUCUCCUGCUGGUCAAGUCAGAGCCUCCUACAUAAAAAUGAAUAUAACUAUUUUCAUGUGUCCCUAUGGAAACCUGGCCAGUCUCCAUGGGAACUGAAACGUAAGAUUGCCCACCUUAUCCCCAGGGUCUCAGACUGGUUCAGUGGUAGCAGCUCAGGGACAAAUUUCACACUUAAAAUUAGCAGAAUGGAGGCGGAGGAUGUUGGAGUCUAUUACUGCGUGCAAACUCUACAACAUUCUCCCACAGCCCUGAACACAAAAGUCCCUUCUUAG